rnacentral:rRNA from 1 species
UACGUAGGGAGCAAGCGUUAUCCGGAUUUACUGGGUGUAAAGGGAGCGUAGACGGCGCGGCAAGUCUGAAGUGAAAGGCAGGGGCUUAACCCCUGAACUGCUUUGGAAACUGCCAUGCUAGAGUGCAGGAGAGGUAAGCGGAAUUCCUAGUGUAGCGGUGAAAUGCGUAGAUAUUAGGAGGAACAUCAGUGGCGAAGGCGACUUUCUGGACUGUAACUGACGCUGAGGCACGAAAGUGUGGGGAGCAAACAGG